rnacentral:lncRNA from 12 species
AAUUUUCUAAACAGAACAAAAAUAUAAAGAAAAGAAAAAAUGUAGAGCAGGAUUUUUAUUCCUCUUUCGGCUUACACAAUGCCGGGGCUGGGAGGAGGGAACGAGCCCGGAGCUCUGCGGCUGCCCCGGCUCUCCCGGGGGCUGCCCAUCGUCCAGCGACACUCCCUCCACCCCCAUCUUUCCCUACUCGUUGUAAAGGCAGGAAGGGAAAGAUCGGUGGUUUCCCAGAGAGCUGACUCGGCCCUGCCGGCUCACGCCGUUACGAUUUCCCCGCGGGUUUCCGAAAUCAAAAUACCCGGGGUCCGGACCUCCGGGGUGGGGACAGGCCGAGCCCUGCUGGGGGGGUCUCACCGGGACAGGACUGCCCGCACACCCUCAGCCCCUUCCCCCGCAGCCCCGGCCCUUUUCCAGUUCACCGCAGCACCGACUGAGGCUUUCCAGUUAAUUUACUUCUGCACAGAGACCCAGCUGGCCACCAGUUGCAGUUGGCACCGUCCGAGCGGAAUCGCAGGGAAAGGAGCCCAGCGCUGCCCGCUUGGUUAGGCUGGUUUUGUCUGGGGCGCUGGAAAAAAGAGCAGGGGAUUCACACGAGCUCAAGGCCCCCCUUUUCGGGACAUGUUUUGGAAGCCAAAGCCGGCUGGGCUCCCUCUCCUCCAGGAAAGGACUUUUUAGGAAGAGAUUCAAUAGCUAACCUCGGGAUCGCUGCCACGGACAGCGCGGUGAACAAUUAAAAGACAAAUGUCAGCGGGCUUCACGGGGUGCGAGGUUCCCCCCGUGCGCGGCCGAGAUCAGCCGCAGCUUCGGCUCUGUCCUUCGUGCGGGCAGGAGCUUGUGGCGGAGCUGUAUAAACUCCGGGAUAAUGGCAUUAAAAAAGUGCCGCAUGUCAUAGGGAAUGGGGCCGGCGGAGCCGCUCCCCCCCCCCCCCCCCCCCCCCCCCCCCCCCCCCCCCCCCCCCCCCCCCCCCCCCCCCCCCCCCCCCCCCCCCCCCCCCCCCCCCCCCCCCCCCCCCCCCCCCCCCCCCCCCCCCCCCCCCCCCCCCCCCCCCCCCCCCCCCCCCCCCCCCCCCCCCCCGUGGGGAGCGGCCGGGUCCCUGCCUGAGCGGUGGGAGACCACCGCAGGCUGGUCCCGACAGAUCCCCUCGCACACAGCUUUUGGCUUUCCCUUCCUUCCGUCACAGAGCCCUCGCUUUUAAACCCCACUCUCUUCCGUGUGAGGGAUUUCCAGGCUCAGCGGAAAUAAAGGCGGCUAUUUCUGGGAUUUCCAGGCUCAGGGGAAAGAGAGGCGGCUGUUCCUGGGCUUACCCUGUCUCGGUCCCUGCCAUGUGCCUUUUCUGGGAUGCAGAAGAUACCGGGGCUGUGCAAUCCCAGGGUGCCCAAAGCAUCCUCCCUACUUUUCCAACGCCUCUGCUUUGUCGAGAUACUUCGCAAAG